GAGACUGUCUGAGAAAGCUCGAACACUGAGCCUGAAUCGGACAGAGAAGGAAAGUAAACUUCAGUGCGAGGAACAUCAGGAAGAACUGAAGCUGUUUUGUGAAACUGACAAGAAGCUGAUCUGCCUGGUUUGUGCAGGUGGGCGGGAACACAGAGAUCACCGCUUCAUGCUGGUGGAUGAAGCUGCUGAAAUAUACAAGGAUCAGGUGAAAUCUUCCAUCCAGUCUCUCACAAAAAAGCAAUCAGGGAUCCAGCAAAUGGAGCAGCAACAGAAACAGAAGAUUUCUGGAGUUCUGGAACAGUCACACAACCUUCAAUCCAAGAUCACAUCCCAGUAUGCUGAACUGCACCAGGUU